rnacentral:rRNA from 1 species
GACGAACGCUGGCGGCGUGCUUAACACAUGCAAGUCGAACGAUGAAGCCGGAGCUUGCUCCGGUGGAUUAGUGGCGAACGGGUGAGUAACACGUGGGUGAUCUGCCCUGCACUUCGGGAUAAGCCUGGGAAACUGGGUCUAAUACCGGAUAGGACUCCGGACUGCAUGGUCUGGGGUGGAAAGCUUUUGCGGUGUGGGAUGGGCCCGCGGCCUAUCAGCUUGUUGGUGGGGUGAUGGCCUACCAAGGCGACGACGGGUAGCCGGCCUGAGAGGGUGACCGGCCACACUGGGACUGAGAUACGGCCCAGACUCCUACGGGAGGCAGCAGUGGGGAAUAUUGCACAAUGGGCGCAAGCCUGAUGCAGCGACGCCGCGUGAGGGAUGACGGCCUUCGGGUUGUAAACCUCUUUCAGCAUCGACGAAGCGAAAGUGACGGUAGGUGCAGAAGAAGGACCGGCCAACUACGUGCCAGCCGCCGCGGUAA